UGGAAAAAGACUCUUCAUUCCUGGAAAGCAAGAAAGAGAGUGUCAAGCUUCAAAUAAUAAAAACGUCCUCCAUUGCCUCCACCUGUGAUGAGAUGACCGAUCAAACACCAUCUAUGUGCAAAGGGGGCAGCAGCAGCCAACUGACUGAGUUAUUCCUGGCAGUGGAGAAAGUCUCAGAUGAACUUGGAGAGAUGAAAAAAGCUUUUCUUGAGAAAGAGUCUGAAGAUAAGAAGGAUGGCUACUGGACCGGAGUCGCCAAGAA